rnacentral:lncRNA from 1 species
GUGAGCUCUGAUCCAGCUGGAUGCUGAACAAUGAAAUCAUCUCCUUGCCUGGCAUUUGCCACUUUGUUCCUCCACAAUGCUCCUGGUGGGUCUGCUGAGCCUGGGUGGUGCCCACGACCUGGCUGACAGACCUGGCUCCUGGAGCACCGGGAAGCACCAGCCCUUGCCUGCCUAUCCUGUGCUCUGUGCUGCUGCUCACCACGGAAGAGCCAAGUCCUCGGUCUGUACGAGCAGUUUUAUGUUGGACAGCAUCUUGAGAAAGUGA